CAAACAUAACCUCCAUAUUUUAUUCUUCCUUCAGUUGUUUGAAAUUACACGAGAGCUCUGGCUCUCUGCAUCAAAAUUGCAGACUAGCUAAUAUGUUACAGGCAAAUAUGCUACAAUAAGGGCGUGUUCAAACUAGCAGAAUUGGAAAUUUUUUUUCCCCAGGAAAUGACUAAAUAAGAUGCCCAACCAAGACUAAACAAGUUGGGAAGACUUAAAUUUCAGGAUUGAACUUCUCCUCAUCUGUCACCUCUUUUUUCUUGGUAGCACCAUCUUUACUAAUGACAAUGCCAACCAGCUUACACGGUUCAGCUUCUCCAAGCAUUUGAACUACACUUCUCAUGGUGGGUCUUAGUGAUGGAAGCCGCUCAGUGCAGAGAAUUGCAAUUCUCAAUACCUUGACAACAUCUUCCUUGAAAAAUUCUGGAAUUCUGGAGUCUACUAUGCUUAACACUCUCUCUUUACUCUUCAAGUUGCUGGAGACCCAAUCUACUAUGUCUUUGUUGUCUCCAAACUCUGGCUCUAUUGGCCUCUUUCCACUCACCAACUCCAUUAGUACCACUCCAAAGCUGUAAACAUCACUCUUCUCACUGACUUUGUAUGUGUAUCCAUAUUCUGCACAAUUAAACGUAAUAAAUUAACAAACAAAACCCAUAAUUGAUCUUCUCAUAAAGAAGAAAAUAGAUAUCAGAAACAUAAUUUGAUUACCUGGAGCUAUAUAACCAUGGGUACCAGCAAUGACAUGGGUGGAGUCUUUGCCUCCAUUGGCUUGAACAAUCUUGGCCAGCCCAAAAUCAGCUAUCCUAGGCUUCAAAAACUCAUCCAACAAAAUAUUACUGGACUUCACAUCUCUGUGAAUUAUGGGUCUGUCGCAUCCAUGAUGCAGAUACUCCAGUCCCUUAGCUGCUCCCAAAGCGAUCUCAUACCUCGUCUCCCAUUCAAGCUCCAUCUUCGUUGAAGUAUGCAGACGAUCCCAUAAGCUACCAUUAGGCAUAUACUCGUAAACCAACAGGCUAGAAUCCUCACUGGUAAUACUACAAUACAGCUUCACCACAUUGACAUGCCUUGUUGAGCUCAAGGUAUGCACCUCAGCAUCAAAUUCUUUAGAUUUUCCUCCCCGUCUAGCAAGCAUCGGUGUCGUGCUCCAGCUCUUUUUCCGGCCACAGGAAUCUGUAUUCAAAAUAUGUUUCACAGCAAGUUCUUUACCAUUUGCAAGUGCUACUUUGUACACGUUUCCAGAACCUCCUUUUCCUAUUAAAUUCUCUUCCUUUAUGGAAUCUAGAAUCUCAUCCUCACCGAAGCCUAACACAUGGAAGGACUUUACGUCCCAAGAUUCUUCCUUCAAUGAGCGUUCAUGAUCCUUUUCUUUCUUCUUUAAGUACAAGAAGUAUACAAGUGAGAGAACCAAUAUUGCAGCACCUACACCAAAGCAAGCAAUAAGCGUACGGACAUCUUUGGACAUCCCGGCUUCAGGCUUGCAUAGCUGAAAAGUGCUCACUGUUUGGCUGCAGAGGCCAGAAUUUCCGGCGAAACUUCCGUUGUAUGCUUCAAUUGACAGAGAUUGAGGUAUGCGACCAGUUAACCUAUUGUGGGUUAGAUCAAGGAGGCUUAGACUCAAAGACGACAAGGUGUCUGGAAUUUGACCUGAAAGUUGAUUCUCAGAUAAAUUCAGAGAAUUUAGAGUCGGUAGAGAUCCUAUGGAUGAUGGGAUUUCACCGGAAAGCAAAUUAUGAGCUAUGUUUAGAUCGCUGAGAGAAUCACAAGAGCCUAGAGACUCUGGAAUCGAACCAGAGAACAUAUUGUUCUCCAAAUGAAGGCUGCUUAGGUGCUUAAGUUCUCCAAUUGUCUCCGGUAUCUUGCCUGAAAAUUGAUUGUCGUUUAACUUUAUCGAAACCAACGACGUAGCUCCCGAAAUCUCCCCUGGCAAUUCACCGGAUAAUCGGUUGUAUCCCAGAAACAACUGUCCAAGAGCCUUGGCGUUCCUAAUAUCAGAAGUCACUGGACCUUCAAAUUGAUUAAACUCGAUAUCGAUUAUGUUCAUAAUGGGCAAUCCCCAAAUUCCAGCAGGAACAGUGCCCGAAAGCGAGUUUUUACUGACUCUGAAUCUCUUCAACGUAGUACAACUCCCAUAGCUGGCCGGAAUUUCCCCGGUAAAAUUAUUUUGGAGCAUGAGAAGCGCUUCCAUGGUCCCCUGCUUGCACAUAUCUGGUGGAAUCGGACCUGUCAAGUAAUUCUCUGAGACAUCGAUGAAAAUAAAAUUGGCCCAAGAACCAAGCUGAGGAGGAAGAGGACCGGUUAACUUGUUCCCGUACAGAGAAAGAUUUACGAGUUUCUUGAACUGGCCAAACUCCAUUGGUAUUUCACCAGAAAGCUCGUUCUCGAAUAGCUGCAGAGUUACCAGGUUUGUCAAGAAUCUCAAUUCAGAUAAACCACCUUCAAGAUAGUUCAUGGACGCAUCGAAUUUCUCCAGUUUUGUAAGGUUUCCAAUUUCAACUGGUAAUUUUCCGGUCAAGCUGUUUUUGUAGAGCUCCAGCUGCCAGAGGUUCUUGAGCAAUCCUAUCUGGGAAGGAAUCUCUCCGGACAUAUUAUUAUUGGAAAGUUCCAAGUUUAUGAGCUCGGAAAGAUUUCCAAUAUCUUGUGGAAUCGUGCCACCGAUGCUGCAAUUCGAUAAGUAAAGCCAAUUCAGUUUGGUUAGCUUAACAAUCUCCAAUGGAAAUGGAGUUGGAUAGAAGGGAUUGUCUCCUAAACUCAGCGUAACAAGACCCGUGAUAUUUUCCAGUGACUUCCAUGGAAAGACACCCGACAACCCAGUUAGGUUCAAGAACAAGUGCUGUAAUUGACUCAAAGAAGAAAAUUCAGGAAAAUGACCACUAAAAAGAUUAUUUCCAAGGUCUAGAUAUCGCAAAUUUGUGCACUUAUUCAAGUCAUCACUGAUACUACCCGACAAGGAAUUGAAACCAAGCGAGAGCUUUUCUAAGGAUGGGAGCUUGCAUAUUGAAUCAAGAGGAACAACUCCAACUAAGUUCUGAUAUGAGAGUUCAAUUUCAGUGACAGAAUUGCCUGAAUUGCAUGUGAUUCCAGCAAAGUUACAGAUGGAAUUACUUGAAACCCAUGAAUUGAAAACAUUAGUAUUCGACUUUUGAAAUGCAGUUUUGACGUUGAGGAGAACUUGAAGCUCGUCGGAUUGCGAAUUGAGGGAAGAGAAGAAGCAGAGAAAACAGAGGAGGAGAGAAAAAGAGGCCGUUGACAUGUCGGGCGGUGAAGAGGAAAGAAAGUAAUUUUAGUUAAGGUGUUUUAAUCAGAGAAGAAGAAGAAUGGAAGAAAGAGAGCGAUGCAACGCCAAUUUUAACCAAGGCGGCGGGGUGGCUUUCACAUUUGAUAUGCUACUGUGAUUGCUUACGGUGGCUAUUCCAUUGGCUAUUUCCCUUCUGUUGUAACGGUAAUUAGAUUACAGGUUUGUUUCUCAGUUAUAUCCUUGAAAUGAAGCAGUGUUUUAUAGUACUCUCGCGCACGUGUGUUUGCAACUUGCAAGUCGGAGGCAAUUUAGCUGCAAUUAUAAAAGAUAUUAAAGAUGGCACUUAGGGUAGCUGAUAGGGUAGGCUCAAAACAUU
rnacentral:misc_RNA from 1 species